GUACUUGCUUGGGCAGCACAUAUACUAAAAUUGGAAUGAUACAGAUAUUAGCACGGCCCCUGCACAAGGAUGACACCCAAAUUUGUGAAGUGUUCCAUAUUAAA